CUUCUCUGACAUCCUCUUCUCCUUCUCCUUCUAGAUCUCCACCUAAUGCCUCCCUGAAAGGCAUCCAUCAGGCGAUCCACGACCUUUGUGGCUAGAUCUCAGGCUCCGACCUCACCUCUAGUUUCUCAGGCUCCUCCUCCUCCUCCAGCAACGGCGGUCGGCAUGGAGCAGUUCGACCUGCUGGUUCAAUAGGUCAGAGGCCUCACCGAAGUAGUGUAGGCCUCACCGAAGCA
rnacentral:lncRNA from 1 species